GAUGAACGCUGGCGGCGUGCUUAACACAUGCAAGUCGAACGAACCUUCGGGUUAGUGGCGGACGGGUGAGUAACGCGUGGGAAUCUGCCCUCAGGAGGGGGAUAACGGCUGGAAACGGCCGCUAAUACCCCAUAUGCCGAGAGGUGAAAUGAAUUUCGCCUGAGGAUGAGCCCGCGUCUGAUUAGCUAGUUGGUGAGGUAAGAGCUCACCAAGGCAUCGAUCAGUAGCUGGUCUGAGAGGAUGAUCAGCCACACUGGGACUGAGACACGGCCCAGACUCCUACGGGAGGCAGCAGUGGGGAAUUUUCCGCAAUGGGCGAAAGCCUGACGGAGCAACGCCGCGUGAGGGAUGAAGGCCUCUGGGCUGUAAACCUCUUUUCUCAAGGAAGAAGAUCUGACGGUACUUGAGGAAUAAGCCACGGCUAAUUCCGUGCCAGCAGCCGCGGUAAUACGGGAGUGGCAAGCGUUAUCCGGAAUUAUUGAGCGUAAAGCGUCCGCAGGCGGCCCUUCAAGUCUGCUGUUAAAAAGUGAAGCUUAACUCCAUCAUGGCAGUGGAAACUGUUGGGCUUGAGUGUGGUAGGGGCAGAGGGAAUUCCCGGUGUAGCGGUGAAAUGCGUAGAUAUCGGGAAGAACACCAGUGGCGAAGGCGCUCUGCUGGGCCAUCACUGACGCUCAUGGACGAAAGCCAGGGGAGCGAAAGGGAUUAGAUACCCCUGUAGUCCUGGCCGUAAACGAUGAACACUAGGUGUCGGGGGGAAUCGACCCCCUCGGUGUCGUAGCCAACGCGUUAAGUGUUCCGCCUGGGGAGUACGCACGCAAGUGUGAAACUCAAAGGAAUUGGCGGGGGCCGCACAAGCGGUGGAAUUUGGUGGUUUAAUUCGAUGCAACGCGAAGAACCUUACCAGGGUUUGACAUCCUGCGAAUCUCUUGGAA
rnacentral:rRNA from 1 species